GGGCACAUUUGUAGCAUUUUGUGAUCGACUAUAGAUGUCCUGAUGAGAAUCAUCCCUGAAAUUUCUUUUACUGAUUCACUGCGUUAGUCAAACUACAAAAUCUUGCAACCAAAGUGGAUUCUCACUCAUGAAAACAUGCAACAGAUUGAUGAGGAACUAGCCUAAAAUAUCAUGGUUGGUAUAUCAAAUCCGAGGCUCAUUGAAUCCAGGUCUGUAUGUACCAUCAGAGCAAAAAUGGUACAUUAAAUACAAUAUUUUUGGAUGAUAAAACGACUAGAUUGUGACAUUCAAUUUGAAAAGCUCAUAUAACUUGGUUAUAGAUAUUUUUCAUAAAAACAAUGGACUCUUAUAGAAUGAGAGGUGAAAGGCAGGGAGGAAGAAGAGAGGGUCAUUCAAAAUGGUAAAAGGAAACAAUAAUGCAUAGCUUCAAAAGAAGAUGCAUAUGUAGUUUAGAAUCAUUAGAGAGAGGUGACAAGCUGGAACUCAAAUGUUCCUCUCAUGCAUCUCUUAAAAUAGGUUUUUUUAGUUUCUCUUGACCAAAAAUGGAAAAAAAAAAUGCUUGCUCUUUGAUCUUUUCUAAGCAGUGGCAGGGAAAAGUGAGAAACACAAGGCCAUGCAUGUAUGAAAGCCACUCCAUUCCAUCCAUCUUCUCCCUAACGCUACUUUGUUUAAGGGUUACGAUUAAUUGGAUUCGGGAAGAUGAACAGGAAGCAGGGAGACUUCAGCCGCCGGGACUCAUGCCAGUUCUGCUGCGACCCGAGGCCGAGCGGCGAGCGCUCCGACUACGCUAGUCUCAGAGGCGGUGGUGUGGUGGUGUGUCGGCCUUUGGUUUUGCGGGCUCCGACCUCCGCGCCGGAGAUUGGUACUGCUCUUGCGGCAGCAACAACUUCGCCAGACGGGUGGAAGUCCGGCGACUGGAUUUGCAACAGGAAUCUGAUUAAGAACUCCUUCAAUUGUGAAUAAAGCUGCUAAUGUGGCGGAAUUCUAGCAUCUCCACGCGUCCCUUAUGCUCAAAACACUCACCAUGAAAGAAAUUCAGGAUAAAAGGAGAAGAAAUGCCCAAUCUAGAAUCCAAUAUCAAAGCCUCAUUCUAAAGCUCAAUUUCAAAAGUCCAAGAAGAAAUUGCAAUUGAAUCUGAUUUAUGUUGGUUUAGCAGCCGGUUCAGCCAAACUAGCUGGUUCAAUUGAAGCUUAAAUGGGGUUCGAUUCAAUUGUAGUUAAAAGGGAAAUUUUGGUUGAGUGUGUUGGUGCAGGUUGCACUGAUAAUUAGAUUUUGAUAUAUGACAAAUAGGUUAAAGUUAGAUAUAUUGUUUGUCUAACCUUUUUACUAAGUGUGCAGGAGUUGAUUGAUUUGAAGGACCUGCCAUCAGGCUGAGAUCUAUCUAGGUUCGUGCGACCCGAUAGCUGGUGCAAAGCCCAAAUAGAUCUGCGGGACCCGAUAUCUGAUGGAAAGUCAGGUUGGGUUCGCGGGAUCUAACAACCAGCUGAAGUCCAGUUGGGUCCACGGGAUAUGACAACUAGCGGGAAGACCUGGUGGGUCAAAGACAAAAUCAAGUGACUGCAGUUGGUAAGUGGAGGGACGAAGUGCUAAGAAAAGGGUGUCCGGGCGUCGAGAAGGGAUUCGGGCACCUGGACUUCGGGCUUUUGGAGUUGGUUCAAGCGCCUAGACUUGCUUCGCUCGGGCUACCUGCUAGGCACCCCAGCGGUCCGGGCACCUGGGGCUGGUCCAAACGAUCAUUAUGAAGCUGAGUUGGAGUGCGAUGACUAGCCGAACCCACGUCAACGGUUCAGGCACCUGGAGGGGAUCGGGGUGCCCAGAAGUGGAUAAACUUGACGGAUCAAGUUUCAACGAGAGAUCACCACGUCAGUAGCGGUCCAGGCGCUCGAAAUGGGCCUAUAUAAAGGCCUUCAACCAGUAGCUUCACAAGAUUAAUUGCUACAACUUCCAUACUCACGCGUUGCUUCGAAAAAGUCUCCAGAAUAUCUAAAAGCUGCACCGACAACCUGUGCUCAAGUUUCAAAGUUAUAUUGUUGGUAUAAUUUAAUUCCUGCAAUUGUACUUAAAUUUUGUAAUUGCUUUGUGAUUAUAGUGAUUGUCCAACGAAAGCACCGAGCGAGUGCAGGCCUUGGAGUAGGAGUUGUCGAAAACUUCGAACCAAGUAAACCCACCUAUGU